rnacentral:rRNA from 1 species
AGGAAAAACGCUGGCGGCGUGCAUGAGACAUGCAAGUCAAACGGACGAUCGGGGUUCGCUCUGAUCGUUAGUGGCGGACGGCUGAGUAACGCGUAGGUGACCUGCCCCGAAGUGGGGAAUAACUGCCCGAAAGGGUGGCUAAUACCGCAUGUGGUGGUGCGUUCGAUCGCACCAGUAAAGCCGCAAGGCGCUUCGGGAGGGGCCCGCGUCCGAUUAGCUCGUUGGUGAGGUAACGGCUCACCAAGGCGACGAUCGGUAGGUGGUCUGAGAGGACGAUCACCCAGACUGGGACUGAGACACGGCCCAGACUCCUACGGGAGGCAGCAGUCGGGAAUUUUGCGCAAUGGACGAAAGUCUGACGCAGCAACGCCGCGUGAGGGAUGAAGGCCUUCGGGUUGUAACCUCUUUUCCAGGGAAGAUAAUGACGGUACCUGGCGAAUAAGUCACGGCUAACUACGUGCCAGCAGCCGC